rnacentral:rRNA from 1 species
CACGUAGGGUGCGAGCGUUAAUCGGAAUUACUGGGCGUAAAGCGUGCGCAGGCGGUUCGCUAAGACCGAUGUGAAAUCCCCGGGCUUAACCUGGGAACUGCAUUGGUGACUGGCGGGCUAGAGUAUGGCAGAGGGGGGUAGAAUUCCACGUGUAGCAGUGAAAUGCGUAGAGAUGUGGAGGAAUACCGAUGGCGAAGGCAGCCCCCUGGGCCAAUACUGACGCUCAUGCACGAAAGCGUGGGGAGCAAACAGG